AUCGGGAUGGGAGAGUCACCACGGCAGAACUCGGGGAGAUGCUUAAAAACAUGGGAUUUAUUUCUACCAUAGAGGAGUUAGAAGAGCUUGUCAGUGACGGGGAUCCAGAAGGCAAUGGGACCCUUGACUUCAAGGGAUUCAUGUACCUAUUCCAAAUGUUUUACAACGAUAUGAGGACCGAUGAUCAGAUAAAAUCUAGCUUCCGAGUGUACGACAAAAAUGACUAUGGCUACAUCACCCAUUCGGAACUCAAGUUAGUACUUCAGAACAUCGGGUAGAAUGUUUCUGACGAUGAAAUCAAUGACAUCAUUGCCAGGGUUGACCGAGAUAACGACGGAAAGAUCAACUAUAAAGAAUUCCGUGCACAGCUGGAAAAAUUGGAACACAGACUGUGUUGAAAUGAUUCUGACCCUGAUAUUAUUAAAUACC